UACGGGAGGGGCAAGCGUUGUUCGGAAUUACUGGGCGUAAAGGGCUCGUAGGCGGCCCACUAAGUCCGACGUGAAAUCCCCAGGCUUAACUUGGGAACUGCGUCGGAUACUGGUGGGCUUGAAUCCGGGAGAGGGAUGCGGAAUUCCAGGUGUAGCGGUGAAAUGCGUAGAUAUCUGGAGGAACACCUGUGGCGAAAGCGGCGCACUGGACCAUAACUGACGCUGAUGCGCGAAAGCUAGGGGAGCAAACAGG
rnacentral:rRNA from 1 species